rnacentral:lncRNA from 1 species
CUUGUUGGUUUUUCCCUUUACCUGAGUCUUGUUUUCUCCACAGGGGGUCCCCCUGUUUUCUUCCCACCGCUGAAGAAAGAGUAGAAAAACAAACCUUUUGUACCUUAUUUCUUCUGCCCUCUGUCACCCAUGGAGUUUCAGCACUGGGAACUGAGAUUGAAAUAUCACAUGCCAGCAAAGAAAAAGAUUCUGUUGUGUGCCUUGUGCUUCUUUUUGGGUUGGAUGCUUCUGAGAGAGAUGAAGAGCGGGCAGCUGGUGCUUGAGGAAAGGCAAGAUUUCAGAUCUGUGUCCUCCACUUGGUUGGGGAUAUUCAUAGUACAGAUCAUCAUUUAUUUGUCACUGGAAAGUUGAUAUGAAGAAGCAAGCAGAACCUUGCCCAGUUAAAAAUAUAUGGAUCAGGAAAAUCAAAGAAAAAG